UAAGACGAACUGUCCAAACGUUGUUCGGAAUCACUGGGCUUAAAGGGCGCGUAGGCGGUCCGGUAAGUCAGGGGUGAAAUCCCACAGCUUAACUGUGGAAGUGCCUUUGAUACUGCCGGUCUGGAGGGAGAUAGGGGUGUGCGGAACUUCCAGUGGAGCGGUGAAAUGCGUUGAUAUUGGAAGGAACGCCGGAGGCGAAAGCGGCGCACUGGAUCUCUUCUGACGCUGAGGCGCGAAAGCUAGGGGAGCAAACGGGAUUAGAUACCCCGGUAGUCCUAGCCCUAAACGAUGAGUACUAGAUUGUAGACUGAUCAUGGGUUUACAGUCGAAGCAAAAGUGUUAAGUACUCCGCCUGGGGAGUAUGGUCGCAAGGCUG
rnacentral:rRNA from 1 species